GGGGGGGGGUGGGGGGGGGGGGGGGGGGGGCGGGGGGGGCGGGGGCGGGGCGGGUGGGGCUUCGUUGGUGGCGGGUGGCGGCCCGUUUAGUACUGUAUGGGGACCGGCCUGCUGGCGUGUGGUAACGACUGUUAACGCUAGCUCAGAGCGCAUUCCGUAGCGCGAACCGAAAGUGGGCCCAUCGAGCCUCCUGCCAUCGGACGUGCCCACAUGGGAUGAGAUCGGCGGCGGGGUAACGCAUCACCAAGGGGAUGAACCCUCGCUGGUCUGUGACGAUGGCCAGCCACACUGGAACUGAGACACGGUACAGACUCCUACGGGAGGCAGCAGUGGGGAAUAUUGCACAAUGGGCGCAAGCCUGAUGCAGCCAUGCCGCGUGUAUGAAGAAGGCCUUCGGGUUGUAAAGUACUUUCAGCGGGGAGGAAGGGAGUAAAGUGAAUACCUUUGCUCAUUGACGUUACCCGCAGAAGAAGCACCGGCUAACUCCGUG
rnacentral:rRNA from 1 species